rnacentral:RNase_P_RNA from 1 species
UUCGCUCCCCGGGCGACCGCGGUUCUCUUUUCGGAGAGGGUCGAGGAAAGUCCGGACACCACAGGGCAACGUGCCUCGUGAAAACGAGGGACGGUUUCGUGUAAGCGGGACCGGACAGAUAGUGCCGCAGAAAAUAUACCGCCCGGCUUGCUGGGUAAGGGUGAAAUGGUGGGGUAAGAGCCCACCGCUCCGAGGGUGACUGAGGAGGCAAGGUAAACCUCGCGUGGUGCAAGACAGAACAGGGGAAGGGCUGCCCGCCCGACCAGGAUCCCCGGGUAUUAGUCGCACUCCACUUCGGUGGGGCCCCGCAAGGGUGAGACAAAUGGUCGCCCAUCCGCCUUCGGGCGGAGGACAGAAUCCGGCUUACAGGGGAGCAACUUGU